ACCAUUGUGGUGUUAUGGUAGCACACUCGGCUCGUAUGCGAGAGGUCCAGGUUCGAGUCCCGGCGAGGGCA
rnacentral:tRNA from 1 species